rnacentral:tRNA from 1 species
GCGGGAAUAGCUCAGCUGGCAGAGCACAACCUUGCCAAGGUUGGGGUCGCGGGUUCGAAUCCCGUUUCCCGCUCCA